GGGCUUUAAAGGGUGCGUAGGCGGGGCGUAUAAGUCAGUGGUGAAAUCCUGGAGCUUAACUUCAGAACUGCCAUUGAUACUAUAUGUCUUGAAUAUGGUGGAGGUAAGCGGAAUAUGUCAUGUAGCGGUGAAAUGCAUAGAUAUGACAUAGAACACCUAUUGCGAAGGCAGCUUACUACGCCUAUAUUGACGCUGAGGCACGAAAAGCGUGGGGAUCAAACAGGAUUAGAUACCCUGGUAGUCCACGCCCUAAAACGAUGAUUACUCGACGUGUGCGAUAAAACGGUACGCGUCUGAGCGAAAAGCAUUAAGUAAUCCACCUGGGAAGUACGACCGCAAGGUUGAAAACUU
rnacentral:rRNA from 1 species